rnacentral:lncRNA from 1 species
CACGAGCGGUGUGAUGCCGCCGAAAUUAGUUAAUAUACCAAUUUUUCAGCGAUGUCCGUGUUGACACAAACGUCGCUUGCUGGAGCUCGCUAAUAUAUGAAUAGCGACCUUACUUGUACGAUAAAACUGCGAUUAGUGUGAGGCAAUAUUAUAUAAGGUUCCUUCUAAUAGUUUACCUUGUACAUGAGAAAUUGUCCAUACUCUGAACGUCAUAUAGUUCCAGCGUCUUCGUAUCAUGCUUGUCUUCGAAGAACGUCCCGACCUUUUGUUCGAACUUUCGAACAUUAUAAACAAACUGACGUUAUACAAAUGGAGUAAAAAAGUAGUAUACAAUGCCAUUCAAACAGUAUCAGGCUGUAAAAUGUCAAUAAUAAGUCGGAGAAAAUAGUGGGAACAAGCUCUUUGUGCA